AUGGCUUGCUCCGCCCAUCUUCUCUCGCAGAGCCUGUACCAACCCCACCGCUCCUGCCCGGUCCCGUCCAAGCACCUCCGGUUCCAGGCCCAACCCGCGGCGGCGUUUUCCGCCGGCGUCAGCUCCAGCUUCAGCACCAGGAGCCGACGGUCUCCAAGCGUAAGAGUCGCCGCGUCGGCCGACCAAGGGAGGAAGAAAAUCGAGCUUACGUAUGACGCACAAGCCAAGUUUAACCAGCUAGCGGACCAGAUUGACAAGGAUGUGGGGAUUACACGGCUCAACCUGUUCUCACCUUGCAAAAUUAAUGUCUUCUUGAGGAUAACCGGGAAGAGACCAGAUGGGUUCCAUGACCUGGCUUCUCUGUUUCACGUGGUUAGUUUGGGUGAUACUAUCAAAUUCUCACUGUCGCCAAGUAAGAGCAAAGAUCGGCUAUCAACCAAUGUUGCAGGUGUCCCAGUUGAUGAGAGUAACUUGAUCAUCAGGGCACUUGAUCUUUACCGCAAGAAAACUGGCACUGAUAAGCACUUUUGGAUACACCUUGAUAAGAAGGUCCCAACUGGUGCUGGUCUUGGUGGAGGAAGCAGUAAUGCUGCAACUGCACUAUGGGCUGCUAACCAGUUUAGUGGUGGCAUUGCUUCAGAAAAAGAUCUUCAAGAAUGGUCUGGUGAGAUUGGAUCAGAUAUCCCCUUCUUCUUUUCACGAGGAGCAGCAUAUUGUACUGGUAGGGGAGAGAUUGUCCAAGAUAUUCCGAACCUGUUGCCAGAGAAUCUGCCAAUGGUUCUGAUAAAGCCACCUGAAGCAUGCUCAACCGCUGAAGUUUACAAGCGACUCCGGUUAGAUCAGACUAGUCAAGCUGAUCCUUUGGCUUUGCUCAAGGAGAUUACGCAAAAUGGGAUAUCACAAGAUGUCUGUGUAAAUGAUCUAGAGCCUCCAGCUUUUGAGGUGUUGCGAUCACUAAAGAAGUUGAAGAAACGAUUCAUUGCAUCCAAUAGGGGAGAUUACAGUGCUGUUUUUAUGUCAGGGAGUGGAAGCACAAUAGUUGGAAUUGGUUCCCCAGAUCCACCUGCGUUUGUGUAUGACGAUGACGACUACAAGGAUGUUUUUGUGUCAGAGGCUCGCUUUCUCACUCGUGAGGAGAACGAGUGGUACAGGGAACCAAUGUCAUCGAAUGCCACGUUUAGCAAAGAAGAUUCACUGUCAGAGUCAGCACCAGUCAUGGACUGA
rnacentral:rRNA from 1 species